rnacentral:lncRNA from 1 species
AUAGAUUAAAAAGCGCAAAAAAAUGCAACAAUAAAAGACCAUAAAAGAAACCAAAAAACAAAACAAAAACAACAAAACAACCUCUAACCAUACCCUAAAAACCAGAAUGACAGAGAAAAACUAGAUAAAAUCUCUCCAAAAACUGCCCCAGCACAGCUACAUGAGAUUGAAGCGACUAAUUUCAAAGAGAAAAAAUUUUGAUGACCUCCAUGGAGUACAAGAGAGAGUUUCUCCACACCAGAAAGCUAUGAAUUGCUACCCAUUCCUCGGCCACAAUCCGAUCCACCACAUCUGGGGCUUCUUCAAUCUAGUACACGACCUCCUGGUACCGGCUACCUUCACCCACAAGAAUAUGCGCCGCCGUGUUAACUUCCCUACGAGCAAAACAGAAGGUAACCCUGUCAAAGUUCCUCUUAUAAUCUUUAAUAUUUUGAACCACUGGCCUAGGAAUUGAUUUAUCUUCUUCUCUUGAGUUAAUCUUUUUAACUACUAUGAGCGAGUCUCCUUCAAAAUGGACAUCUCAAAAUCCUAUCUCUAUAGCAAAAAUGACCACCUGUUCACAUACACACGCCUUUACUACAAAUGCAUCUGUUACAUCAGAUUGAGGGCAACUACUUGCUUCCAUAAUCUAACUUGAGUCAUUUCUAGCAAUAAACCCAGAGAUAGAGCUAUGACUUGCUGCAUUGACCGAUUCAUCAAAAUUUAUUUUAAUGCUGCCCCUUUAUUAAGGCCUCCAUAAAUCUUUUAUAGUAUUCUGAAUUGGCAGCCUUAGGGUCGAAAUAGUCUCAAACUCCAGAACAUACCCCUAGACAAAACCUACCAAUUCAUGAAUUGUCCACCUUAGUCCCUCAUGGAUCAUCCGAUUACACAUGUACCAAAUAGCCCAAUAAGCUGUGACCAUAAUUUUCCUGGUUUUAAUAUCUGCAUUUGGAAAUAAAUGUGCUAACCAUAUUUUGUAAUAUGAGGCCACCAUCAUUGGACUCACUACAAUCUUUAGAUGCAUCCAUAUCUGCUGCAAAAUAUGGCAAGACCGUACCAAAUGCUCAGCAGUCUCCUCUACCUCCUUACAUAGCGGACAAUCACCUUCAACUAGUAGCUUUCUCUUAGUUAGAUUCCCAAAUGU